CAUGUUGAAGAGGAUAACAGAGCGAGCCGUGGUAGGGAGAAGGACGAACGUAACAGACAGCUUCACAACACACCCACAGCAGCCCAAGAUGGCAGAAACGCGAAGACCGGGUAGGGGUGAACACGGACGAAACGUGCGAAAUCUACGGGGAAAGCGUCGCUGGGAGCACAGACGAGUGAAUUGGUGAACAUUUCAGCCGAGUUAGGGACAGAAGAACUGAAGCAAUGAAGACGAAUGAAGGACACGUUGCCUGGCUUUGUCUUAUGACGAAGGUUUGCCUGGAGAGCUUCACAAUAUCGUGGGCAAGGCCAUAGAGCAAUCGGAAAGAAGUAGGUCAAGGAGUGGGCCAGCCAAGGGGGCCCUGGGGUUUAUAAAGUUGAAGACAGCCUGACCAUUCCCACAACUGAAGAGAUUGAAGACAACUGGUAUGUCACCAAGAUGCUGCCUCCUAUCUGUGGUUUUUGGUUUUACUUUCUCUUUUGGAAAUGAUCAUUUUCUUGUCAUUUAAAAUGGCACCAUAUGCUACAACAUUGACUUUAUUCUGUGUUUAGCUUCUGCGAAAUGACUGACUGUAAAACCAAUUUACAGGUGCUUUGGAUGUUUUGAUUUAUGUUGACAAACUGUUUAUAAAGUGAUUUCUCGCUUUUGUAGUGCUUACAGUUUUUGAAAAUUUUACUCUGUAAUGCAAUGUUGGUUAUUUUAUUUUCUUUAACUGGAUUGUUUUGAUGGUCUUUAAUAAAAAGAAAUUUGUUCACUAUA